GACUUGCAAAGGAGCAGUUUAAGAGCAGUGAGAAGAGAGUGAAACCUUCCCUUUCAGGCAGCCUGGGUAAAUUUGCAGGGUUAAUUUCAAUUAUGAUGUAUUUGAAAAUGUGUCCUGCUUGUAGGGAACAAAGAGAUUGGGCUUUUUCCCUGGAAGGUGUUCUGUGAUUCCCUGGGCCAU